rnacentral:rRNA from 1 species
UACGAAGGGGGCUAGCGUUGCUCGGAAUUACUGGGCGUAAAGGGCGCGUAGGCGGCACUGUUAGUCAGGCGUGAAAUUCCUGGACUCAACCUGGGGACUGCGCUUGAUACGGCAGAGCUUGAGGAUGGAAGAGGGUCGCGGAAUUCCCAGUGUAGAGGUGAAAUUCGUAGAUAUUGGGAAGAACACCGGUGGCGAAGGCGGCGACCUGGUCCAUUACUGACGCUGAGGCGCGACAGCGUGGGGAGCAAACGGG